GAUGAACGCUGGCGGCGUGCCUAAUACAUGCAAGUCGAACGAAAGGACCGGAAGUUUGCUCCUAUGAGGUUGUCAGCGGACGGGUGAGUAACACGUGGUUAACCUAACUAUAAGACAGGGAUAACUUCGGGAAACCGUGGCUAAGGACGGAUGAUAUUUUGAAUCGGAUUGUUCAAAAGUGAAAGACGCUCUUGCUGAGAGUAAUAGAUGGAUCCGCGGUGCAUUAGUUAGUUGGUAAGGUAAAGGCUUACCAAGGCAACGAUGCAUACCCGACCUGAGAGGGUGAUCGGCUACCUUGGAACAGAGACUGGUCCCCCACUCCUACGGUAGGAAGCAGCAGAGAAUCUUCCGCGAUGGGGGAGAGCCGGACGGAGCAACGCCGCGGGAGUCAUGAAGGUGUUCUGCUCGUUAAACUCUGUUAUCAGUGAAGUACAUAUGUUCAAUUACCUGUGAUCAUCUUGACGGUACCUAGAGAAAAAGCCCCGGCUAACUACGUG
rnacentral:rRNA from 1 species